ensembl:lncRNA
CUCAAUUUUCCAAGCCACGUCAAAUGCAAAUGAUUGUUUACGCACCUCCUGGGCCAUCCUAUUGCUGUGCUGCUUUUUGCCUCUGAGAAGUAAUUCAUGUUUUUCUUCACAAGGACCAAAAGAAAACCUGCAAAGGCGGUUGGGGGCCAAAGAGAUGCAUGUGAGGCAGUGUCCCCCCCAGCAGCUGCACAUGACAAUCCUAUUGCACCAUGUUGGAGCGCAUUGCUCGGCUUGCCAGGAAGGGGAGAAGCAAAGAACACUCGGUACUACGUGCGGAGCCACCACAGAUCUGCUCUGCCUCUUACACCAGGCAUUGGCCUGAGGGAUGCAGGCAUUUGGGGAGGAUGCAAAACCUCAUGCAAAGUCUGCCUGAUUGCAUCUGCGCACUGAGUGCAGAUACCUUCGGGAGCGGCUGUUUGUGUUCACUCCAUGUUCUGUGUGCUACAACUGCGGGGCAUUUGGGACCUGUUCUUCCUGACCAUGGGGGCAGGACCUGCCUCCACCCCCAGCAGCUGCUGCAAAUAUAAUGAAGUAGCAACACACAAUGCAACCAACAGGCACUAAGGAUUCUGGUUUCCUACUUCCCAAAACUUUGUAAUUAGCUUUGGAGUUGGAAGACGACCUACAAAGUGAGUGGGAAUGUGGUUUUAGGGAGGUGGAGAACAGCAGCGCGGAGGGGCCCAGCUGCAGCAUCUGCAUUCUCCCAGGCUCUCCCCCAGGACACGCACGUCCCAGGGUGACGUUUCCGCUGGCAGGGAGCAGCGGUGCCUUUUGGAGGGCAACACAUCAAUAGGAUCGCCCCGAUUCAAAACCAAAUCCAGUGGCAAGCGUUCCUAUCCCACAACACAGCUGCUCCCAUUCAUAAAGCCAGAGGACGGCUGCUGCAAGCGCCGCUAUGGGGCUGGGGCUGACACCGUGCCGAACCGGGCAGUCCCCUCGCGAGCCCACACAAGCAGCUCCUCC